rnacentral:tRNA from 1 species
CGGAGCGUAGCUCAGUUGGUAGAGUGCUGGUUUUGGGAACCAGAUGCCGGAGGUUCGAGUCCUCUCGCUCCGA